UAACCCUUUGAUAGUUAAGGUAUAUUAAACUUAGAAUUUAAUUAAUCCAAAUUUAUUUUCCAGAAUUUGGGUUAA
rnacentral:tRNA from 1 species